rnacentral:rRNA from 1 species
UACAGAGGGUGCGAGCGUUGUCCGGAAUCACUGGGCGUAAAGGCGCGUAGGCGGCCUGAUAAGUAGGGGUGAAAUCCUGUGGCUCAACUGCAGGCUGCCUCCUAGACUGUCGGGCUUGAGCACGGUAGAGGCAGAUGGAAUUCCGGGUGUAGCGGUGGAAUGCGUAGAGAUCCGGAAGAACACCGGUGGCGAAGGCGGCCUGCUGGCAGUGAGCUGACACUGAGGCGCGACAGCGUGGGAGCAACAGGAU